rnacentral:tRNA from 1 species
UCCCUGGUGGUCCAGUGGUUUAGACUCCACACUUCCAAUGUAGGCAGCACAGGUUCAAUCCCUGGCCAGGGAA